rfam:Photorhabdus luminescens subsp. laumondii TTO1 complete genome; segment 4/17
GAGGGCAGGCCCCUCGAAGCCGUUUUACAGGAAAUGGCUUCAAACCCCCCACUGCUGCUGCGUUUAAGAGACGUGGUGGUGAGCGAGAUGGGAAAAGGUCGGGCAUGAUCCGAUCAGGU